rnacentral:rRNA from 1 species
UACGGGAGGCAGCAGUAGGGAAUCUUCCACAAUGGACGAAAGUCUGAUGGAGCAACGCCGCGUGAGUGAAGAAGGGUUUCGGCUCGUAAAACUCUGUUGUUAAAGAAGAACAUAUCUGAGAGUAACUGUUCAGGUAUGACGGAUUAACCAGAAA